ACGAAGGGGGCUAGCGUUGCUCGGAAUUACUGGGCGUAAAGCGCACGUAGGCGGCUUUGCAAGUCGGAUGUGAAAUCCCUCGGCUUAACCAAGGAAGUGCAUCCGAAACUGCAGAGCUUGAGUACUUAAGAGGAUCGCGGAAUUCCCGGUGUAGAGGUGAAAUUCGUAGAUAUCGGGAGGAACACCAGUGGCGAAGGCGGCGAUCUGGGAAGAUACUGACGCUGAGGUGCGAAAGCGUGGGGAGCAAACAGGA
rnacentral:rRNA from 1 species